AGGGUUGCAGCUUAGUGGUAGAGCAUCUGCUUUGCAUACAGAACGUCCCAGGUUUGAUUCCCAGCAUCUCCA